GGUUGCUGUCUUGCUUGAUCCUUCUUUGUGAUUCGUUUGUGUUUUAGCUUUUAUUUUCGGAACUUUAUUAACUACAAACUUGGCUAUUCAAACGGACUCUGAUUGAUUGCAAUAACGACAUACUCAGCCUGGGAUUUACUGUUUUUGUGUGGCUCGGCCAAGGCUCGGCUGGUGGUUCUAUGGUGUUAGAAAAUGAGCAACUUAAUUAUACACAACAAUGGGCAGCACCUCGAUCGGUUACAGCUCAUGAUCUUAUAUGCACAACAUGAUGGACCCAAGCCCAAGAUACAACACAAAUGCAUCUACUUCAAAUCUUAGCAGAAAAUGUGUGCUUUGCAGUAGAACACUAGAGCCUAGAACACGUUCACAUCAGCUCAUGUCCCUGAGAACUAACACUCAACAUCAUAUUAACAUCAGGAACAUAAUUGUGGAACGACUAACUCCAUUAGAGGUUACUGCAAAUGACUACAUCUGUGGGGCUUGUCACUCAUUAUUGCAAAGAGAUACCACACCUACUUCACAAGACUCUCCAGAUAUGCCAACCGGUGCCCCGGUAGGUCACCAACAAGUUUGUGUUGGAUGUGGUUGUUCAUUAUUGCGAACUUGAAGUCAUUGUUUGGAUACAGAGAAUAAUCAAGAUAUAUUAAACAUUGUUCGAAAUUGGAUUCAACCCAGAGAGAUUCGUCCUUCAGAUCUUCUUUGCCAUAGAUACUAUCAGAGAGCACGAAUUACUACAGUUGGUGCUUAUUUAAUGAAGCUGAGGACCGGUGAUUCAGAUGACAGAAUAGCUACAUUACUUGGCAUUUCAAGGAGUACUCUUACAAAAUAUGUAAUGAAAGCACGCAGUAUGAUGGAGGAACAUUUCGUACCAGCACAUUUAGGGUUACAACAUAUUAGUAGAGAGGAAGUAGCCCAAAGAAACCUUUAUGUUCCAGUCUCUUUUCGGGAAGCCAGGAAACGAUUUACCACAAAGAAAGGCUAUUGUCAUCAUGGAUGGUACAUACAUACAUUUAUGUGCAAAAAAGUAGCAAUCAGGCCCGCCGCUAGCUGUUUCGUCGCCCGCGUGCAAAACCGAUUAUGCCGCCCUACGAUUACCUACUUAAUGAGUUUUGUCAAAAAAAGGCUAAUUUAAUUGAUGUUUUCUCAUUUUUCAUGCUAUGACAUAUUUUCUUAAACUUAAUAGUCCAAUCAAUUGGUAUUUUUUUCCUGCAAAAGGUGGAAAGUAAAAUGUUUUAAUUUGUAUUAAGUAUAUUUUUAUGUAUGGGCUAGUUAUGAAAAAAGUAUGUUUUCGAACUCGAGAGGUCAGAGCGUUAGUCACCAUCUUGAGUUAAAGGGCCGAACAUUAAUUAUUUUUUACAUUUAACGCUUCAAUAGUUGACUAUAUGAGGAAAAUGUCUUUGAGAAGUAUAAAGACGAUAAAAUUUCAAUUGUUUAAGUAUUUUUAUUUAUUCUGUACGUCGCGUUGAUAAAAAGUUAUACAAGGUUGAAAAUUUUCAUUUGCACAAAAAUCAUUGUAGUAGCCUCCCCAUCCCUCUUGGGUAGAGGGACGGUGCACACGAGUGUGCGAUAGCAGGGAGGGUUAGUGGUGGACGUUUCGUGUGCUACUCCCGCUCUGACCGCACUGGAGCAAUGAAGGGCGCGGGAGCGACCCGCUCAAUUUCCUCUCCCUUACCCAGAUGGGCGCUUACCCGCUUUGAUCGGGAGAUGGCCAAGGAGGCUGCAUUCGUAUGCGAUAGUCACGGACGGUGAUAUGGCGGCCAACCAAUUAAGAAAAUCGUUAAUUGAGGUGUGUGAUGUUAACAUGCCUCGAUAACGCUACCGCACACCUUGUCGUGCUGUCUACUGGUGGUCGGCUAAACUAGCUGAGCUGCGUUCACUCGUAGCUGGCGUAAACGUUCACUAGACCCGUCAUAUGGCUUGCCUUUAUGAAAUCGGAGCCGCCAAAGACCGAGCGAGGGCAGAAAUGCUCGCAAGUUUGGACGACGAUACUAACUGUGGGAGAUUUUAUGCUAGAAACCAACUACAGCCUAUUGGUCCUCCACUGACUAAAGAGCAGGCUCUGCUAGACAAGGUUUUGCGAGCGCUCUUCCCGAACCAGUUUGCCUUUUUCGCUCUACCAUCCAUGAUAGAUUCCCGCAGUGUCAACUCAGCUGUGGAGGGAGCCCCUCUUUGCCUGCCUAGGCCGGAUAACUAUGCCUGCUGCGCAAGGAAGGCCGUCCAGGUAACUCAACAUCGGAUAUGACUGGGUACAAAGCGGCGCCCUCCUCCCGGGCGUAGAUGUUAUCAGUUAUGCAGGUGACACUCGUCACAGCCUGAGGGAUUGUAUGGACGCGGCCAAUUUGGCGACCACUGCCAGUACUUAAAUUGCCUGCGCGCGUCUGGAGACUGGAGUGUUUCUCCUAACGCCCAUAUUAUUUUACCGUGGAUGGAGUCAGGAUAGAAGUUAAGGUUCAGAGCAAUUGUCUGGGCCUGAUAGUCGGAUAGCCGGUGUCAGUUUGACCCUCAUUUUGCCAUACUGUCAUAGCGCCUGCUUAGGGCCGCGGAUGCUUUAUCGUGGGGGGGUUCGAGAGCCAAAUGGCGGCUCCUUUACGCCAGCAUUUUGAAAAGCAUUGCGCUUUACGGGGCUCUCAUAUGGGUUGACAUUCUCGACAGAAGUCGAGAGGCCCGCUCGAGAAAAGAGGUGGUCCGCCGCGUGGCUCGGAGGACGAGGCGCACGAUACCCUCGCAGUGUGUGCGGCGUGGGCUCGAGGCGCUGGGCCGGGACCUCGUGCUGGCUAGCAUAGUCAAAGCAAUGCUGGACAGUAAUGAGGCCUGGGCGGCCAUAGCCUCCUUCUGCAAAAACGUCAUGUUGCAAAAUGAGUCCUCGGAGCGAGAGCACGAGGACGAACCAAACGCGCCCUCACUCCGUCGGCGGCGGAGGGGUCAGAGGAGGGGACAAUAUGAUCGCUUCCUGAUUCCCCUCCACGAUGAUGGUCAGCGGCUGAUAGUGUGGGGGUGCCCCCGCCUGCAUUGCACACACCAUCUCUUCCGUCAGACGGGAACAGCUGCGUGAUCCCAGCUGUUCUAAGCGCCCUGAGCUUCUCUUCUCGGAAGCUCUGAGCGCCCGAUUUGCCGCCCCCCUGGGCGUGCCGCCCGCGUGCGGUGCACGCAUUGCACGCCCGCUUGCGGCGGCCCUGGUAGCAAUUAUGCAUACCAAAAAAAAAACUUAUUCCUUAUACAAAUAUCGGAAUCUCGUUAAACCAUUUAUGGUACUUUGUUGUGAUGGCGACAUCAUUGAUGUAUUGGGCCCAUAUUUAAUAGAAAAUGUAGAACAUG